rnacentral:pre_miRNA from 1 species
GUUUUAGUAUAAGUAUGUCCUAAGCUAUAUUCAGGACAUACUUAUACUAAAA